AUAUGAUGUAUCAUAUAUGCUUUUAUUUUAUUCUAUUCAUUCAUAUAUAUAUAUAUUAUAUUCCCUUGUAACCAAUAAUUCUGUUGCAUCUCAUAUCGCAACCAAGAAGACCCCUCAGCGCCGUUUUGCAAGGAAGACUCCGCAGCGCCGCAAACGCCAACCAACCGUGGCCGUCGAGAAGACCCCACCGUCACCGCCCGAGGCCGUCGAGAGAACCACGCCGUGACCGCCCGAGGACGUGGAGAACAGCCCGCCUUCAUCGCCCGAGGAAGUCCGUGCCCCGCCUCUGAUCAGCGCCGAAGGGAGAGCGGCGGCUGAACACCCCGCCGUCACCGACUCGGAAACCGUCCGCGCUGUGCCUUCGGUCAGAGUUGAAGGCAGAGGAGCGCUCACGACCGAAAGGAGCAUUCUAGCAGUUUUACUCGCGUGGGCAACGCCAUCGCCGACCAGCUGAACAUCCGAUCCGAGGCCUGGACCCCCUGAUUUUUAGACCUGAGCGAAGAAAUUAAGUUAGUAUGCUCUAACAAGGAAGCCGUAAAACAACCAUUCUAUCUCAAGUUUAAGCUCUCAAC